AGGACAGGCAUGAAUUCAGAGGAAUCAAAAAUGUAAAUGUGUUUUCAUGCAUUCACUCAUGUUCCAUAGAUUGAGACUAUAGAGACAAAGAGACGGAGAACAUUUGUUCCAAAUGGAGGAGAGGGGGACACUGAAGGAGUCAAUGUCAACAGUGUCAAGUCCUGUGACCGAAGACUUGGACUCUCUGAGGAGGACUGUGGAUCACUGGCCUCCGUUCUCCAAUCAGCAGACUCACAUCUGAGAGAACUGGACCUGAGGAACGGUCAGCUGUUUGAUGGUGGUGGGAGGGAACUCUUUACUGCUCUGAAACAUCCCCACUGUAAACUACAGACACUGAGACUGGCUAGCUUUAGACUCUCUGAAGAGGACUGGGGAUCACUGGCCUCCGUCCUCCAAUCAGCAGACUCCUCUCUGAGAGAACUGGAACUGGACCUGAGGAACAGUGAGCUGUCGGAUGUUGGUGGGAGGGAACUCUUUACUGCUCUGAAACAUCCACACUGUAAACUACAGACACUGAGGUCAGUAUCUACACUGUAAACUACAGACACUGAGGUCAGUAUCUACACUGUCAACCACAGACACUGAGGUCAGUAUCUACACUGUAAACUACAGACACUGAGGUCAGUAUCUACACUGUAAACUACAGACACUGAGGUCAGUAUCUACACUGUAAACUACAGACACUGAGGUCAGUAUCUACACUGUCAACCACAGACACUGAGGUCAGUAUCUACACUGUAAACUACAGACACUGAGGUCAGUACUUUGAGAGGGUUCCUCACAUAACGAGAACGCAUUGAUUGUUGGAUAGUUUGUUAGGGUCAAAUUGUCACCCUGAGAGCAUGUUUGGAUGCAUUUUUUCUUGGUAACAAUUGUUUUUCUUGGAAGCACAGGUCUGAAGAUGCAUACAUACAGGCCUAACUGCAUUUAAAUACUAUCAGACUAAAACGCUUGAUACUUAAUGUUCACAGCCUGUAGAGGCUUUCUUCGGAGAGAAUUCAUUUUUAAAAUGUUGUUUUCUUGUUGCUCAUCAUGUUGCAAUAUAUUAUCCCAUUUAUACUGAAUGGAUGUUAUCUGACCUGAGAAAUGUUGUGAGGUGUUGACCUCAGUUCUCAGCUCAAACUCCUCUCACCUGAGAGAGCUGGAUCUGAGUCACAAUGACCUGCAGGAUUCAGGAGUGAAGCUGCUCUCUGCUGGACUGGGGAAUCCACACUGUCAACUAGAGAAACUGAGGCUGUCAUUCUUCUGACUUCAGCUCUGGGGUCAACCUCCUCCCACCUGAGAGAACUGAACCUGAGCUCCAAUCACCCAGGAGAUUCUGGAGUGAAGCUGCUCUCUGCUAGACUGGAGGAUCCACACUGUAGACUGGAGAAACUCAAUGUGGACCAUAAUGAAGAGUUCUGGGUUAAACCACAGCUGAUGAAGAAAUGUAGGGGUGUUAGUUUCAAGGAAUUAAUUUGUCAAAUGACACACACACUAGCUGUACCUACUGAGUGCCGCUAGCAACAACCCUACCGAUUCUACUUGUAGAAUCACAUUGUUCGUCAGUGCCCAACAACUUGACUUUGGGCAAAUCAGAGAGCACAAACCCUCAAGUGGGGCAGCCAAUGGGAAAAGAUGGAGUUGCUAGUUUCCAUGAAACAGCUGCCUGUGUUAGCUGCUGAGUUAGUGCAGUGUCUUUAGCUAGCUAGCUAGCUCAGUUGUGCUAGCUAGCAAAUAUUAUACAAAGGUUAACUAGCUAGCUUAACAUAUGGCUAUGGGCUGGCACUGGCAGUAUGGUAUUAUGGAGGGUGAAUUAAUUUGUUUCUUUGUCAUCUUGCUAGGUAGUUAUCUGGCUUUGGCCAUCUGGCUAGUAUCAACAAGGGCUUUCUACAAAAUAGCAACAUUAACGCAGAUAGCUUGGAAUGUAGACCAUAAGCAAUACGCACGGAUAUGCAUUGCUAAACAACGCUACUGACAUCUUCAGGUUUGGAGUAUUUUAACAAGGAUGAGCGGCUGACGACUUUUAAGGUCUUUUGCUGUGUGAACACAAAAGACUGCUGACAUUCUGUUCAGAGGUGCUAAGUACUGUCGGCAAGCAAACGUUUGACAAUACUACUGGUGUGUCUGAGCUUUAAAACACACACUGAUCAUGGUAACAGAUAAAUGUUGUUGACAGUGAUCAUGACUUCAGAUAUGGACAUUAUAACAGAUACAUUUUGUUGACAGUGAUCAUGACUACAGAUAUGGACAUUAUAACAGAUAAAUGUUGUUGA